rnacentral:rRNA from 1 species
AUUGAACGCUGGCGGCAGGCCUAACACAUGCAAGUCGAACGAGUGGCGGACGGGUGAGUACUGUCUGGGAACCUGCCCGAUGGAGGGGGCUAACUACUGGAAACGGUAGCUAAUACCGCAUACCAUCGGGUGUGCCCCGAUGGGGUUAGCUAGUAGGUGGGGUAACGGCCAACCAAGGCGACGAUCCCUAGCUGGUCUGAGAGGAUGACCAGCCACACUGGAACUGAGACACGGUCCAGACUCCUACGGGAGGCAGCAGUGGGGAAUAUUGCACAAUGGGCGCAAGCCUGAUGCAGCCAUGCCGCGUGUAUGAAGAAGGCCUUCGGGUUGUAAAGUACUUUCAGCGAGGAGGCGUUACUCGCAGAAGAAGCACCGGCUAACUCCGUGCCAGCAGCCGCGGUAAUUC